AGCAGCCGCGGUAAUUCCAGCUCCAAUAGCGUAUAUUAAAGUUGUUGCAGUUAAAAAGCUCGUAGUUGAAUUUCGGGGUUAGUAGGUUGGUCAUGCCUCUGGUAUGUACUGGUCUCACUGAUUCCUCCUUCCUGAUGAGCCGUAAUGCCAUUAAUUUGGUGUUGCGGGGAAUUUGGACUGUUACUUUGAAAAAAUUAGAGUGUUUAAAGCAAGCUAACGCUUGAAUACGUUAGCAUGGAAUAAUGAAAUAGGACGUUCGAUCCUAUUUUGUUGGUUUCUAGGAUUGACGUAAUGAUUAAUAGGGAUAGUUGGGGGCAUUAGUAUUCAAUUGUCAGAGGUGAAAUUCUUGGAUUUAUUGAAGACUAACUACUGCGAAAGCAUUUGCCAAGGAUGUUUUCAUUAAUCAAGAACGAAAGUUAGGGGAUCGAAGACGAUCAGAUACCGUCGUAGUCUUAACCAUAAACUAUGCCGACUAGGGAUCGGAUGAUGUUAAUUUUUAAUGACUCAUUCGGCGCCUUAA
rnacentral:rRNA from 1 species